ACUUGUCAGGUGGCCGGGAAGGGGGGGGGGGGCAUUCCCAGCAGCAGGAGCGGCUUAAGCAAAGACAAGAGGGAGAAGUUUGGUUUCAGGGAAGGCUCAAAUAACCACCGUGGCCACUCAGGCUGGCAGGCUCUUGCUCCUGGACGUGCAGAGCGGCAGGCCUGGAGGCCGGGAAGGAGGGAGCGAUGACCAAGACUUCCUGGAACACCGCUUGUUCUUACGACAAACCCGCUAAUGUGGCCUGUAAGUAGGACGCUCAGGGCCUCGGCACUGCCUGGAACCUCUGCCCGCCCCACACCAUCACCAGCAUCUCUCCACGCCCCUUCAUUGUUCCUACUCGUCCUCAGAACUCAGCUCAAGCCACGCCAGUGCCCUUGGCUUGGAGCUCCUGUAGGGAGAGACCUCUCCCCUUUCAGAGACUGCUCCCCUCUCUCCUCUCUUCCCCAGCCUCCAGACCAGCUUCGGGCCUGAAGGAGGGGCUCAGGUUGGACUCACUGAUGAGUGAUGGCAAUGUGAACGUCACUGUGGUGGAUCACAGAGAGUCUGAACUGGAAGGAACCCUAGAGAUCAUGAGAUAGCAUGAGGAGAGGGCACGGCCCUGGACCAAGAGAAGCUGAAAGACUGAGAUAGGCUGCGGGGAAACCACUUGGUCAAGUCCAAGUCUUCAUUCUACAGUGGAAGAAACUGAGAGGGCAGGGAUUGGCCCAAGGUCACACAGAGUCGAUCCACAAACUAGGCAGGGCUGGGUGCAGGCUCCCGAGUCCUGGCGGGGAGUAUUUCCUACUGUAUCCUGCACUUAAGCAGUUCCGUUUGGGCGGAAGCUCUGCUGUUCGGGAAGAGACGCCAGGCCUUUCCAGAAUCCGGUCUAAGGCUGUCUUCCAGGACCUGCUGUCAAGGCUUGUUCCUCAGGGACCAGCUGUUGGCAAAAGGAGGCGAGGUAUUGAUUAUGGCUGGGGCUGGGGGAGUGGAGAGAAGGGACGGGGAAGGGCAGUGGAAGUUUCUCUGAGAAACAAACCAAAGGUAUCUUUAUUUUUGCUUUUUCUUAUCUGUAUGUUCUAAUUUUUCUGCAGUGAUAUAAUUCAUUUUUCAUAUUUGAAAGUGAUAAACCAUGUAAUUGGGAACGCGCUGGGAAUCCAGGUUGUCUCAGUCCUGACUGUCUGUGUGAGCUUGGGUAGGUCCCCACCUCUCUCUGGGCCUUUGUUAGAAAUGCCAGUAAGGAGGCUGCCCAGUGAGAAGUAAGAGACUCAAAAUGCUCCCUGGCUCCGGACACAGCUCUCCAGCCUGGUCAUCACAGAUGUUAACCCAGCCAAAGAAAGAAUGCAGUAACCAAGGAGUGAGGUGUCCAGAGCAGAGCCAAGGUCCAGAGAAGCCCACUUUGGCUGUGUGCACAUCCAACACUGUCCAGAAGGGAAGAACUGUCUGAGGGACGUGCCCAUCCCAGUCCCCAGAGGGCUUCUCUGCGGAGUGGAGACAGUCCAUCAGGUUUCACCAAGGUCUGCGUGAACAGCCCUCUGCACAAGCCCUCCUCGCCCCUUUGCUCAGACUCCAGGCCCUCCAGGCCCCAGCUUCCCAGAGACCCAGCUCCCAGGAGGGAAGGAGACGGGGGAGGGGACAAGAGCACUCCUGUCAGCAGAAAGGGAGCCGGCCCGGGGUUGCUUACAAUAGUGCUGGGAGGAGGCAUUGACCUUGAGCGACAUGGUUAGGGCCAGCCUGUCUGACCUUCCUAGGCAUCUUGAGAAAGGUCAACAUCAGGACCAACCAGAUAAGGGCCAGACUCCAGGCUGGUCCCUCACCCAGGUCCUGCCACCCAGUGAAAGGUCAAAUGAUUUGAAUAUGUGUAUAGUGUUUAGAACAGUGCCUGGAAUAAAACAAGGAGCCAGUGAAAGUUAGCUGUGGCCUAGCUGGACAGCAGGGCGGAGUGCUGGGUCCAGAAAGGGAGGAGGGUCUUGAACUUGGCCAUCGGUCCAGUGGGAGCCCCUGCAUCCAGGAGGCUCAGCUCACGCCGUCUCUGCCACCUACGGAUACCGAGAGGGCACCUCCCUGACUGUUCUGAAAUGCGACAUCACUUUCUGGAGAUGGGCUCCCCUCUGAUCUUCAGGCCUGAGGCAGGCAUCAUGGCUCUCCAUCCCUGAAUUGUCUUCCACCCACCAGCCCUCACUCACCAGCUCUGGGCUAAACCUCAGAGGCUGGGAAUUCUAGGCCAGGCUGAGACCCCACAGUGUCAGGGCUGGAAGGUCCUCAGCGUCUGCCAUGUUUGCCCCUCCUCCAAGGCACACAUGGGGAAACAGAGGUCCAAAGAGGGAAAGGGGUCCCCUCCCACCCCCCAUCUCCAGUUUGCAAAGCUGGGAGCCAGUGGAUGGGCUGGAGCUGGGCCCAGGCUCGGUGCGUUCUCUCAGCCUCCUCUGCUCUCCAGGGGUCCCCAGAGGCCACUCCAGAGACUGUGUUCCCCCGUCUGUGGCCACACCUCACCUGGUCUUCGUUGGCUCCAUCCUCUGCGGCUGUGUCUGGGAUAACUCUCGCCAAGCAGGGUCAGCCCCCCGGGAGCAGGCCGCUAACGAGCUUCAGAUGUCCAGGCCAGACUGCCUCGCAGCAGGCGGGUGUGCAGAGGCUUGGCUGAUGGCGGCCCCCCGGGCGGCGGUGGUGGCUCAGAGGACACCUCCUCUUCCCUUCGUAGCUUACUUACCUCCCAACUUGGAUGGAGCAGGUGCCAGAGUUCCCCCAGAAGCCCCAGCCCGGGCGGCUAUUGCAAGGAGAUCUGGAAAAGGGCAGGGAGGCUGGAGGACAAAUGCAUU
ensembl:lncRNA